rnacentral:rRNA from 1 species
CGUCCGGCGACCGGCGCACGGUGAGUAACACGUAUGCAACCUGCCCGUGGCAGGGGGAUAAGCGGGGGAAACCCCGUCUAAUACCGCGUAACGCGGCCUAGGGACAUCCCAAGGCCGCCAAAGGGAGCAAUCCCGGCCACGGAUGGGCAUGCGGCGCAUUAGCUAGUCGGCGGGGUAACGGCCCACCGAGGCGACGAUGCGUAGGGGUUCUGAGAGGAAGGCCCCCCACACUGGUACUGAGACACGGACCAGACUCCUACGGGAGGCAGCAG